GACGAACGCUGGCGGCGUGCUUAACACAUGCAAGUCGAGCGAUGAAGCACCUUCGGGUGUGGAUUAGCGGCGGACGGGUGAGGAACACGUGAAGAAUCUGCCUUCAACUCUGGGAUAACUCCGGGAAACCGGGGCUAAUACCGGAUAUGAGCCUUGGCCGCAUGGCCGGGGCUGGAAAGUUUUUCGGUUGAAGAUGACUUCGCGGCCUAUCAGCUUGUUGGUGAGGUAAUGGCUCACCAAGGCGACGACGGGUAGCCGGCCUGAGAGGGCGACCGGCCACACUGGGACUGAGACACGGCCCAGACUCCUACGGGAGGCAGCAGUGGGGAAUAUUGGGCAAUGGAGGAAACUCUGACCCAGCGACGCCGCGUGAGGGAUGAAGGCCUUCGGGUUGUAAACCUCUUUCAGUAGGGAAGAAGCGAAAGUGACGGUACCUACAGAAGAAGCACCGGCUAACUAUGUGCCAGCCGCCGCCGUAA
rnacentral:rRNA from 1 species